UCGCCGCCCGCCGCACCGCGCCGCGCUUGGCCGCUGAUGUCCGUGGCUGAGGCAAGGAUGCUGGGGAACAGUUGCUUCUGCAGGUGAGGGGCGUGCUCGAACAUGGAGACAUGGGCAAUGGAGUCGAAGCUUUCCUAGGAGACGCAUAGCAAGAUGGAAAAUCUUUCCACUAAUCCAAGUUGCCUGAGUGUCUGAAGGUUUGGAGCAGACCGUCAAUUGGUACUGUUGAUCCAUCAGGAGGCGAAUUCACACUGUUCACGAAGGGGGGCCAUCACGUUCCUGAUUGGUGUUUGUAGAUGGUUCCUUUCGCCACCACCUUGCAAGAAAGGUAGCAGAAGGUCACAUAUACCCAUUACCUCGCGACUGUAUAUCCUUCCAAAUACAGGUCCCUGUUUCCUAUUCCCGAUCCCCAAUCGUGAGUCGAUGUUGUCGUUUCUCUCGCUGGUAGAAAUCAAUGAGUACGAGUUGCUUAAGGCCAGGCAAUCUCUAUUCCGGGCCCUAAUCGCUGGAUGACAAUGCAUAGUCCAGCCCAUGAUUGACAACGAUCCAACCGAUUCAGGGCCGGCCCUGACUCUUGACCGCCGUCGUGCUUGCCGCGGCAUCCCGCGCGGAUAUGAAUUCAAUAGAGGUGCGGGCGCGGCGGAGACACACAUGGCGACGACGUAGGGGAUGGCGCGGCCUCGUCUUCUAGGGCCGGCCCUGAGUCUUGACCGCCGUCGUGCUUGCCGCGGCAUCCCGCGCGGAUAUGAAUUCAAUAGAGGUGCGGGCGCGGCGGAGACACACAUGGCGACGACGUAGGGGAUGGCGCGGCCUCGUCUUCUAGGGCCGGCCCUGAGUCUUGACCGCCGUCGUGCUUGCCGCGGCAUCCCGCGCGGAUAUGAAUUCAAUAGAGGUGCGGGCGCGGCGGAGACACACAUGGCGACGACGUAGGGGAUGGCGCGGCCUCGUCUUCUAGAGGACAAGUGCCACAUCACUCGAGGCUAGAAGAUCAGGCCGGAACCCUAGCUAUCUAGUCCGACGCCAUGGAGACCACAGGAGGACCUAAACCCGACCAUGGAUGGCGUGGAUCAAAUCCAAAGGAGGUGGAUCCUCCAAGACCUAACUCCUCCCCCAUGCAUUUUUCGGCACUGGAUUUCGUGGUGAGCGAGGCAAGAAGGUAUAAGAUGCGGUUAAUACUGUCACUAUGUAAUAAUUGGGAAGAUUAUGGAGGGAAGGCACAAUAUGUAAGAUGGGGCAAGGAGGCUGGCGUGGAUCUUACUUCUGACGAUGACUUCUUCUCUGAUCCAACACCUAAAGGGUACUACAAAGCUUUUGUUGAGGUAAAUUUCUGGCUCCUUACCUCAGAUAGCCAUCGGAAAUGGGUUCUUGAUAUCUAUCAUGUUGCGUGACCAAUGGAAAUCAUAAUAUGCUUAGCUAUAUGAAAUGACACCAGCAAAUUGUUAUUGCUAAUUGAGGUGUACUGAGGUAGACCCAUCCCCCCUCCACAAAACAUAGAAGGGCAACGUAUACCCACCUCGUACUUUACACUGCAGGCCGUCGUACGUACGUAAUAUGAGGUGGGUACAAUGUGAGGUACGUACGGCGGUAUGUUAGUGUACAAUACGAGGUGGGUAUACGUUUCCCCUUCUACGUUUUGUGUCUAAGUGUUGCUAAUUUUAGUUUGCCAUCUCUGAAUUUUGUAGUACUGUAUUCCUGUUAUACCACAGUUCCAAUACUGUGCAUAUGGUUCCGUGAAACUUUCAUGCACACAGUGUACAACAAUUUAUUGGGCUCUUGGGAGAGUGGAAUGGUUGGAGGAGGCUGCCUUCUAUGGCAACUCUUCCCUGAAGGUGCAGAACACAUUGACGAUGGUUAUGUAGUUAUUUUUGCCAAAACACCAUCCGCAUUCAACCUACUUGCAAAUCACUCAAGGAAGCUAGAAUGAUGAGAGCAUGCUCCUUCCCCUUCCCCUGCUACGGCUCCGUUCGAUAUACAGGAAUGUCGCAGGAACUUUUAAAGGACCAGUUUCCGUAGGAACUUUUAAAGGACCAGUUUAAUAUACAUGGUUUUUGAAGCCAAGAUUUUACUGUAAAGUUGAAUGCCUUAUGUAUAUCAUGUACCCUAAUAGCUGGUCUCUGGUUCAAAAGAACGUGAUACCAUGAAAAAAAGGUAGAGAUUGAAUUGUGCAAUAAAAAUUUGCCCCUCCAUCCUGCGCAUAAUAUAUUUGUGGCAUUUUGUUUCCAUAUAUGGAUAUGCAAACAAAGUCACGUUGAAUGGUACCCUCCAUCUCCAGAACGUUGGGUAAGUGUAAUAUUGCAUUUGGUAUUGUGGUAGAACGUUAAGGUUUAAUAAAGA